rnacentral:piRNA from 1 species
UGACAGCCAGGAUGGUCUUGACCUUGU